UUAAUAGGAUUUAAGUGAAUUAGAUGUGUUUUGAACCAAUCUAAAUUAAUUAAUUAAAUUCUAUUAGAAAAAAUUAUGUUAGCUUUGUGCGCAUGCGCGUUAUGUUCCGUUGCCUCGGCGCCAAAGCCAAAGGAAGUUUUACAGAAUCCAGUCAGAUGGAAGCAAGACGCCAGAGCCGGAUUUCUGUACAUCCAUUUGCACAGUACUGUACAACAAGUUUCCUUUGCUGAGUUCCUUGGUCAGGGGUUUAAACACAUUUUCUGUCCAGUACUGCAGUUGGAAUUUUCCAUCAACUUUUUAUGACAACCGAUGUCCAUCUCAAAAGAGCGUCUAUUCUUCAAGCUCUCUUUACUUACCUUGGUGAGGAUGAGGCAUGCCUGGUGAAAGAAUACAUGGGCAACCAAAAAGAAGAAUUUUUGAAGGACCUGACAAACACCGCCAUGGCCAUAUGUGUCAUCAAAAGGAAAGAGGAGAUUAUGAGGACAUUGGCAUCGUUGUGGAUGGAACAGUGAUUCUUGAACAGAUAAAAUCUGUUGCACAAGCCUGUGCACUGAUGUUGGGGGCAAUUUAUGUGCUUGAUUUGGCCUACCCAAAAGAACUCAAAUACUAUUACGAGUUUGCCCAAAAAGUACUUGUGCAAAUAAACUGACAAGCUCUCCUUAAAGGUUCUCAUACUGGAAAACAGUGCGAUGCUGUAAUUUUAAGCAUUGAAGUGUUGAUAAAUGCUCAACAACCAUAUGUAUAUCAUAUACAAAUUGCAGUUUAGAGUAGGAAUUGUUUAAUAAGUGAAUUAAGUUUUCUUUGUGUGCAAAAUUAAUUUGCUGUAGGAACUUGUUUUAAAUGGUGUGUGUGUGUGUGUAUGUGUGUGUGUAUGAGAGCAUGUGCAUUUUAUAAACUUUGUAUUUAUUCCAUUUCAUACAACUUGUAGUUGCUCAAUCUGUUAAUGAGUUAAUUUUUUUAAAGUUAAUUAGUUGAUUAUUUUGUGUAUUGGGGUGUGUGUGUGUGUGUGUUUCAUAAGAAUUGCAGUUUGCUCCAAGACUUCAUACAGUUUUCUUUUAUGUGUUGGUUUAAUUUAAAUGUGCUGUACAAACUGUUUAUUGUUUUAUGGUGUGCUGCUAAAGCAUUUAUAGGCAAUGAUUUAUGUUUUGUUAAAAAAUGCAUCUUAAAAAUUCAUUAAAAUUAAUAAAAAAAAAAUGUGGUCAAUUGUCAUUUCAAAGUGUAUUUGCAAGCAGUUUAAUGAUCAUUUUAGACAUCAAAAAUAAAUAGAUGUAAGUAGGAAUAACAUAAUUAAAUUAUAGUGAACUAAUAAAUUUCAUUGGAUAAAUGUAACUAAAUAUAAUUGAUUAAAUCCAACUUAUUUUGAUUGUUUAAAUCCAACACAUAUAAAUUGAGUUAAUCCAACCUAAUUUGAUUGUUUAAAUCCAACACAUAUAAAUUGAGUUAAUCCA